GGCCGUGACGUUGUUCCCAAACGUAACCCCUUCCCCGCAGGUCUUGUGCGGAAUUCAGUUUACCGCGACGACGGCGCGCGAGGCUUAAUCGCGUGCCCUCGGGCAGCCCCUCGCAGGUGUGCCGACGCAGACAGCAAAGGCGCGCUAACGCCGACAUGUUGAAAGGAAAGGGCCCAUUUUCCAAGGAAGCUUGUGACUCCAAACAAGAGGAGCAUCCCUGGCGGAUGCUGGGAAAUCAAACCCAGGAUUCUUCCAUGGCAGGUAAUAUGAGCUUCCUGCCAAGGGCCCUGGUCAGCAAGUAUCCCACACAAGUCCAUCUGAAGAUAAACAAGGGCAUGAACGGAUUUGUUUAAAAGGAAAAACACGGUGACUUUUCUGCACUUGGUUAGAUACUGAGUGCAUCUCUGUCCAGCCCUCUAAGUUACUUUAGCCAAGGGUUAAAUAAAGUGCACAUAUUUCACCAUGUC